UACGAAGGGAGCUAGCGUUGUUCGGAAUCACUGGGCGUAAAGGGCGCGUAGGCGGCCGAUCAAGUCGGGGGUGAAAGCCUGUGGCUCAACCACAGAAUUGCCUUCGAUACUGUUUGGCUUGAGACCGGAAGAGGUUAGUGGAACUGCGAGUGUAGAGGUGAAAUUCGUAGAUAUUCACAAGAACACCAGUGGCGAAGGCGGCUGACUGGUCCGGUUCUGACGCUGAGGCGCGAAAGCGUGGGGAGCAAACAGG
rnacentral:rRNA from 1 species